AUUGUGUUGGUAUGAAUGCGCAGAAACGAAUGCGCGGAAGUGUACAAGUUGAUACGUAAUGAGGAAGACGACUUUUCUCUUUAUGGUGAAAUUAUCGUGUGAAAGAGUAUCGACAGCUAGAUAAACCAGAGAAGAAUGGAUUAAUCUUAUUUUGAAUUUCUGGUGCGUGGAAGGGAACGUGUGAAAUUUUAUAUUUAUGUUUAUAUAUAUGAUAUUCUGUGGUAAAGUCGAAAUAUAACCUCAAUGUAUAUAUAUUAGAGCGCGAAUGUUUAUACACUUACGAAAUAUUCAAAGAGUAAUUCGUUGAAAAUUUUAUUUUACUUACAAUUGCGUUGGUACGAAUGCGCAGAUACAAUUGCGUUGGUAGGAAUGCGCAGAAACGAAUGCGCGGAAGUGUACAAGUUGAUACGUAAUGAGGAAGACGACUUUUCUCUUUAUGGUGAAAUUAUCGUGUGAAAGAGUGUAGACAGCUAGAUAAAUCAGAGAAGAAUGGAUUAGUCUUAUUUUGAAUUUCUGGUGCGUGGAAGGGAACGUGUGAAAUUUUAUAUUUAUGUUUAUAUACAUGAUAUUCUGUGGUAAAAUCGAAAUAUAACCUCAAUGUAUAUAUAUUAGAGCGCGAAUGUUUAUACACUUACGAAAUAUUCAAAGAGUAAUUCGUUGAAAAUUUUAUUUUACAUACAAUUGCGUUGGUACGAAUGCGCAGAAACGAAUGCGCGGAAGUAUACAAGUUGAUACGUAACGAGGAAGACGACUUUUCUCUUUAUGGUGAAAUUAUCGUGUGAAAGAGUGUAGACAGCUAGAUAAACCAGAGAAGAAUGGAUUAGUCUUGUUUUGAAUUUCUUGUGCGUGGAAGGGAACGUGUGAAAUUUUAUAUUUAUAUUUAUAUACAUGAUAUUCUGUGGUAAAGUCGAAAUAUAACCUCAAUGUAUAUAUAUUAGAGCGUGAAUAUUUACACACUUACGAAAUAUUCAAAGAGUAAUUCGUCGAAAAUUUUAUUUUGCUUACAAUUGCGUUGGUACGAAUGCGCAGAUACGAAUGCGCGGAAGUAUACAAGUUGAUACGUAACGAGGAAGACGACUUUUCUCGAUUUAUGGUGAAAUUAUCGUGUGGAAGAGUAUCGACAGCUAGAUAAACCAGAGAAGAAUGGAUUAGUCUUAUUUUGAAUUUUUGGUGCGUGGAAGGGAACGUGUGAAAUUUUAUAUUUAUGUUUAUAUACAUGAUAUUCUGUGGUAAGUCAAAAUAUAACCUCAAUGUUUAUAUAUUAGAGCGUGAAUGUUACGAGAUAUUCAAAGAAUAUUUCGUCGUAAAUUUUAUUUCACGUAAGUACAUGUCUAUUUUCUAUUUGUUAUAUUUUUUAUUGAAGAUAUAAACUUUUAUAAAUUAUUGCGCAUUCAUGUUCAACUUUCGAUAAUUCAAUUUAUCCCUAAUUUACGAUCAUUGCCAGAUUUAACGCGAAUAGGUUAUGUUAGAUUGCGUUUUGCUAUAAAAGUAAUUCCUUUUUAUUCACGAAUCUUUUGUCUUCGAAAAGGUUAAAAAAAUUCUCAAAAUUCUCAAAAUCCCGAGCAUGAAUAAUAGAAUCAAUUUUUUAGAGAUUUCAAAGUUUCGAACAGGGACCUCUGUAUCAUCGAGAUGAACGAAAAAUACGGUGAAAAAGUUACAGAUGUCAAAUUCAAAAAAUAACAAUUAUUAGUGCUGUCCCUCAAAAAAAUAGCAAUUGUCUCGAACCACUGUGCCAUAAAUCACGUGCAAUGGAACUUGCUUGACACAGACUGUCCGCGGGCAAAUUGUCCGUCAGUGUAGAGUGGCCUUUAGAUUCUGCCCUUCUGUUUGCAAUUGAUGUCCUAUCAUAAGCGAUCUACACACGAUUGAAACACGAUGAAACGCGCAUAGGUUUCGUGAUACAAGUAUUAUCAAUGUGUGCAGAUUGGUACAAGGAUUAUCAAUUUCAGAUGCAAUUUGGCCGCAUCGAUACAGAAAUAGCUAUAUAUAUUCCUCCUAGUCGAUAAGGAAAGUGUAUUACUGAUACAGAUUUCAUCGUGUAUGGCUUAAAAUUAUUAUGCAGCGUCAGUAUUUUUAAUCGUCCAACUACUCUCUUAUUUAAGAUGAAAUUUAAAUAUUGUCAUCUUUUCAACAAAUUUUCUAAAUGAAUCGUCAUUAUUUGACAUAUUGGAAAUCUUAUCUAAUAUAUUAUUAUUAACUUUUUUUUAAAAUAUAAUUCAAAAUUUUCAAAUCAAGCUUGAAUGAAAUUAUCUUCAAUAUAACCUUAAAUGAUCAAUUUACACAAAUUGAAUUUAUUUCUCGAAAAUGAAAACGAAAUGACACGAAAUCUGACAAAACUGUCUAAAAUAUUCGUGGAAAGGAAUUGCCCGGCCAAAUGUAGUAUGUUUCAGAUAACAAGAAGAACGAGGUUCAACGCGUUUAGGUCGAUCAUUUGUCAGUUAGAUCGAGCAUGAACUCGGCGAACAUCGACGCCCUCGCCACCACCCCUGUAAUUUAUUUCUCCUCGAAGAGACACAAGGGAAGAGAGAGGGCAAGGUUUAUUCCUGUACGAUGAUUCAGGAACGAGAGGCGACACCGGAGGAUAAAAGUGAGAGAAAUAAUCUCUCUCUCUCCGGAAACUUCUCCUUCCUCCAAGAUCUCGAAUGCAAAGAAUGGCGGGGAGGAAAGGUGGCGUGACAUCAUUUACGAAGGUCGACGUCACAUUGCAGCGCAAAGAUUCCAUAGAAAAGCCCGAGCCCGAGCUGUUGACACGCCGGUCUAUUACGUACUGGCAGCUUUUAUCCAACAAAAGAGGGCAUUUAGGCGGCGAAAUUGUAAAUUCAAUUUCCUACAAACGUCCAACCCUUUCCCAUCUCUUCCCCAACCCUUACUUUUCAAAAAACGGAAUUAUUUUAUCGCGAGACGAGGAACAUUUUCCAAGAUAUUUUUGUUCCAACGAACGCGUCUGAUUUUUAUUUUCUUUUUUCUUUGUUACUUGGAUAUAUUAAUUUUUCGGAAUUUAAUAACGAUCUUUGAAGUUUUUCAAUUUGCCAACAAGUUUGACUAUGAAUUUUUAUGAAUAUAUUUUUCUUUCUCUUCUCUUUCUUUCUCUCUCGUUUCAUCUAAUGAGAAUUCAAAUCAUUUACAACUAAUAAAUGACUCGAUUAAUUUUCCAACAAUUUUUGUCUGUUGUUUCUAGAAUUCAAGAUGCCUUCAAGUGAUUAUACACUUUUGUACAGGAUUAAUAAUUAUUUAAGAAUCAGAAAGAAGAGAAAUUCGAAAUUCCAAGCAACGUUUUAACGAAGAAUGAUGCGAGAAAUACACAUUUUUCUCGAGGAGAGAUGUAAAACUCUGUGCGUGUUAAACGCACGUAUCUCCAUGAGAAUUGUGCUCUUGCCACUAUUGUUCUUUCGAGUUCUUAUUCCCCCUCGUUCUGACCCAGUUUCGCUAACAACAAGACAGACAACAGAGAAUUCCUCGAUCGUUGGCCAGGUGCAAACUUUUUCUCCAAACCGUCGAAACACUCCCCCUUCGUUCCCGGAAGAAGAUCUUGGGAUCUAUCUCGAAACAACUUCCUCGAAAGAUCGAGUCAGAGAAUUUUUUUAUCAUUUUCCUCGAAAGCACGAAUAAAAUAUCACGACGAGUAGUAAUUUUUCACAUUAGGAUUAUUAAUUCACACAAGUGAGAGUUAUUCUCCAUCGAGGCAUUGCGAGAAUAUCAACUGCUAAAAAUAAAAAAAGGAUUUUAAAAAGACUCUCUACUCUGUUGACUGGGCAGUGAGAAGAUAAAUAAAAUACGGAUUUAUCUGAAAGAAUAUAUUUAAUUACACAUAAUUUCGUUUACAAAAUUUAAAGUACGAAGGAAAGGAAAUGGUGGCAACAUUCAGUAAUAAAAUUUCACCGAGCUUUAAAUUUCUAUAACUCGUCACGCAACAUUAUUUCAUGGAAUAAAAAGGAAAGAGUCGAAAAGAUUAAACACCUUCUCUUUCUAAAUUGUUUACCAAAGGCUGCCAAGAGAUAUUCCCUCGAAGGCUCCCCUCGUUCGAAUAAGGGAGCUUCUUCCUCGCGCCUUUCCUGAAUAUAUUCAUGACUCGGUUGAAAUCACGGAGGAGGUCCGACAGCGCCGCUUUAAAAUCGCGUUCGAACGACCGAGUGACGAAGGGAGGAGAGCCAGCCAGCCGGCUGAAUUUUAUGCACUCCCUUUCUUCCUUCCUUCCUUCCUGAAUUUGUAUUCGCCGCGGGGGGGAGAGGAGGAAAAAGGUUGCGCACGGGGAAAAAUUUGUUCGACUUAUGCCUCCCUCCUCCUCCUAGGGUUUGCUUUGAAUUUCUGAGGAGGAUUGAUAAGGGUUCGCGAUUAGGUUUCUCUCAGGAUAUAUGUAUAUCCUUUUUCGUUUUUCCUUUUUUCUUCUCUUUGGUGUGGAGAUCGGAUCGGAUCGAUUUUGGAUUCGAGUUUAUUUAUUAUGGAAUGGUGGAGCAAAUUUUUGUCAAAUUUUUUCAAGAAAAAUCAUCGUUCACUAUUAUUUAAUAGCUGGAUGGAAAGAUUUACGAUUUCGAAGAAAAGAGAAUAGGUUUUUUACGACCGAAUCAAAACAAUGUCAUUGUCGUAAAGUAGAAUCAAGCUUCCAAAUUUUUUUACACGUUUCUGCAACACGAUCUCCGUGCAAUCUCGCGAAUACCUCGAAUCUUCGUGCUAAAAAACUUCAAGAAGUUUUUACACAAGAAGUUUUCAUUCAAGUUACACUCCCACGAGCAAAAAUAAAAUCUCAAGAUGUCGAGAAACACGAAUAACAACACGAU
rnacentral:lncRNA from 1 species